AAGUCGUAACAAGGUUUCCGUAGGUGAACCUGCGGAAGGAUCAUUAACGUAUCUCUGACGGGGGUGCGGCGUGCCCAGCUCCGGUCCAAACGGCCGUGCAGCGGGUGCCCGUCCCCUGCUCACAACCACAAACCCACUGUGAACCUUCACGGCGGAGGGAGGGCAACCUCUCGAUGCCGCAUACCAAAACUCCAGUUGCAAAGAAUGUCGUGCGGACACUGUGCCGCCCAAAACACAAAACAACUUUCAACAACGGAUCUCUUGGCUCUC
rnacentral:misc_RNA from 1 species